rnacentral:sRNA from 1 species
UCCAUCAUGGUACUUAGACUUUUUUUUAAUUCCUCUACAGACAAAGAAUAGAAUCUAAAGUUUGUAAGGCAGCCAUCGCCACAUUUUAUGUUAAUGUGAAAGAACAAUUCAUCAAAAUGGUAAGCUCACUGACAUGCAUUUGUUGGUCUAAGGUUUUUUUCACUAAUCCUGUAGCAGCAUAUUGCUGUCUUAGAAAAGCUUGCAUUUGCUGGCAGUAUGGUAAUAAACUCAUUAGAACUAUUCAUAUUCCACAUAACUGUUUUUAAACUAAAUGUGACACAUGUGAAACUAAUUAACAUUUACUUUUGGAAACUAAUGUACAUAUGUAUUUUUUGUUUUGUGUAGCUUAAAGAAAGCCAGAUGUUGACAAAUCUGAAAAGGAAGAAUGCUAAGAUGAUUUCAGAUAUCGAAAAGAAAAGGCAGCGUAUGAUUGAAGUCCAGGAUGAACUGCUUCGGUUAGAGCCACAGCUGAAACAACUACAAACAAAAUAUGAUGAACUUAAAGAGAGAAAGUCUUCCCUUAGGAAUGCAGCAUAUUUCUUAUCUAAUUUAAAACAGCUUUAUCAAGAUUAUUCAGAUGUUCAAGCUCAAGAACCAAACGUAAAGGAAACGUAUGAUUCAUCCAGCCUUCCAGCUCUGUUAUUUAAAGCAAGAACACUUCUGGG